rnacentral:rRNA from 1 species
GAUGAACGCUGGCGGCGUGCCUAAUACAUGCAAGUCGAGCGAACAGACGAGGAGCUUGCUCCUCUGACGUUAGCGGCGGACGGGUGAGUAACACGUGGAUAACCUACCUAUAAGACUGGGAUAACUUCGGGAAACCGGAGCUAAUACCGGAUAACAUGUUGAACCGCAUGGUUCAACAGUGAAAGACGGUCUUGCUGUCACUUAUAGAUGGAUCCGCGCCGCAUUAGCUAGUUGGUAAGGUAACGGCUUACCAAGGCAACGAUGCGUAGCCGACCUGAGAGGGGGAUCGGCCACACUGGAACUGAGACACGGUCCAGACUCCUACGGGAGGCAGCAGUAGGGAAUCUUCCGCAAUGGGCGAAAGCCUGACGGAGCAACGCCGCGUGAGUGAAGAAGGUCUUCGGAUCGCAAAACUCUGUUAUUAGGGAAGAACAAAUGUGUAAGUAACUAUGCACGUCCUGACGGUACCUAAUCAGAAAGCCACGGCUAACUACGUG